GGCGGCCAGGCCUUAACACAUGCAAGUCGAGCGGUAGAGAGAAGCUUGCUUCUCUUGAGAGCGGCGGACGGGUGAGUAAUACCUGGGAAUCUGCCUGAUAGUGGGGGAUAACGUUCGGAAACGGACGCUAAUACCGCAUACGUCUACGGGAGAAAGCAGGGGACUUCGGGCGUUGCGCUAUCAGAUGAGCCUAGGUCGGAUUAGCUAGUUGGUGAGGUAAUGCUCACCAAGGCUACGAUCCGUAACUGUCUGAGAGAUGAUCAGUCAA
rnacentral:rRNA from 1 species